AGUGGCUGUCAUAAGUGGUGUGCUUUUCUUAAUGCGUGCCUGAUUGGAUAAAGCAAGUGUCAAUAACAUUAUUUUUCACCCAUACGGUAGUACAAGAUGUGCCCUCACUAUGCGUGUUGUUUUUAAGUCGAGUCGGUGCAAACUCCUGAAGAGAGAAUGGCGUGUAAAUCAGCCCAAGAUCUGUAAUAGAAAGUUGUGCGUAAUUGUUUUGAUACCAUAUGAGAAAAGUGUAUAUUGCGAUGGUUGUAAAGUCUCCUAGACACACUAUCGUAGUUUGCACAUUACAAAUUAGGUUGGUUACCUUCUCUCUCUGCAGCGCGAGCUACGUGUCAUCGAAGUCCAAUUAUUUAUUUUUUUGCACAUUCUCUUGAGCAUGUCUCGUGGAAUCUAUAGCGUUUUCAAUUCUAAAGAAUCUCUUCACUCAAUAAACACAACGACCUGGGGAAUAAUUACAGGAGAGAGGAGGGGGGAUGAAUGAUCAAAAGCUGCAACUAGACGUUGUCCUUUCAAAUAAGGAUCCCUUAGGCUCGCGUCCUGCUGCGCAACUUUAAUUCCUGGGUGACUAGUCUAUACGUCCUGAAGUACAGUAUUCAACGAAAAAGGAGGACUUCUCAGCGCUGUGGGGAAAACCAAUUCAUAUUAGCUCUGUUCACAGAAGGGGUUAUGGGUACAUAGCCUGAAGGUUAUAACACAUGCAUAGUAAAGACAGUUUAGUUGUCCAGUAUCAUGCAUUGUGUAUUCUGUUGAAGCAAGAAAACAGUGCAAAAGUGUACAUUAAAAUGUCAACAUGUCACUCAAGACAGACUGCUGCAGAGCGAGAGAGAACAACCCUUCCUCAUACAAAGCCUGCUGAUGACGUGUUACUACUGUUCUGCACUUGAAUUAGGCUUGCUUAAGUUAAUAUUAGACCAGAUAGCUGGGGUGUUUAGGAAAGUGUGUCAUCACUAAGGCUUCACAUUUAAAAUCCAACAUAGGCUUAACAACUGAAAUGCUUAUGUUUAUAAUAAGGUUAUUAGAACAACCGGGGUAUGCUCAUUUUACAGUAUGAAAUUGGAAAUGCAUGAUGAUGUUCUUACC